rnacentral:rRNA from 1 species
CCUACGGGUGGCAGCAGUGAGGAAUAUUGGUCAAUGGACGCAAGUCUGAACCAGCCAUGCCGCGUGCAGGAUGACGGCUCUAUGAGUUGUAAACUGCUUUUGUACGAGGGUAAACCCCGAUACGUGUAUCGGGUUGAAAGUACCGUACGAAUAAGGAUCGGCUAACUCCGUGCCAGCAGCCGCGGUAAUACGGAGGAUCCGAGCGUUAUCCGGAUUUAUUGGGUUUAAAGGGUGCGUAGGCGGUUUGAUAAGUUAGAGGUGAAAUGUCGGGGCUCAACCCCGAAACUGCCUCUAAUACUGUUAGACUAGAGAAUGGUUGCGGUAGGCGGAAUGUAUGGUGUAGCGGUGAAAUGCUUAGAGAUCAGACAGAACACCGAUUGCGAAGGCAGCUUACCAAGCUAUAUCUGACGUUGAGGCACGAAAGCGUGGGUAGCAAACAGGAUUAGAUACCCGUGUAGUC